AAUUAAGGUCUACAGCAGGUUGUUGAUUUCUGAAAUGGUAAGUGUUUUCAUUCUUUUAAUCCAUUUCAUCUCCUUUUUCCUCUCCCUUUCUUUAGUUAGAUUUGUUUUUACUCCCUUUGAAAACUUGACCAAUCUGUUGAGUUCAAACUGUUCUAUGCUUGUUGUCCCCUUUGUUUCUUUUUGUGAAAGUUGUUCUAUGAUUCUUAUUGGUCUGCUGACUUAGUUCAUCUAAUUAGGUCGUUUGUUUUAAUAACCUAACUAAUUUCAUGUUUGUUUGUUGAUAUUAAUCAGUCAUAUAGUAGUUGUUAUUAAUCAGUCGUAUGUUGAAUCCAUUUAAGUAGUAAAUUUUGUUUUCUACCUUCCAUAUGAUGGCAUAAAUUGGUUUGGAUCACAGACAGUAGCUCAAGGACUUUGGGGCAAUUUGACUCGUUUGUUAGGUUUGAGUAAUUAACAGGGGUUGUAAGGGUAGCUUGGGGAUUAUUUAGGUUGUGUGAACCUUACCUAACUAAUUAAGAAGCUUCUAAUAGUGGUAGGGUUUAGGAGUGCAUUAUUGAAUAAAAUAAAGAGCAAAGAAUUUAGUGGAAUCAAUUAAGAAAUUGGGGAAGGGGCAUUUGUGAAUAGGGAAUUGAUUUUAGGCCGCCUUAAGAGAUCCUAUAUAAAACUUGCUUAGGAAAAGGCUGAAGGAGAAGGGACAGAAUAUAGAGUCCAAAGAAAAAGAAACAGAGAUAUAGAAGUUUAAGAGGGAGGACAGAAUAAGAGAGAGAUCUAGGAGAUAAAAAUCCAAAAAUACAAACGGCUGCUUUUCACUAUUUGAUUGAAUUCGUUCUGUGAUUUCUUCAGUUUCUAAUUCCUGAAAUAGUUUCUAACUUAUCUGGGCUCAAAUAAUUUGAAUCUGGUGGUUUAAAAGCUUGGUUUGAAGUUUUGGUUGUGGAUUUUUUGAUUUUUGAGCAUCAGUCUUUGGUUUAAAGCUAUUUUUUUCUGUGGUUUCUUUCUGCUGCUAGAUACUUUUGUCGCUACUGCUGAUUUUAUCCCCUUUACUUUCAUUUACAGGUAUUUCCUUAGUCCAGAAAUACUGAUUGAAUGUUGGUUAUGAGAAUCAAGUGGAAUCCGAUGGAAUAUAGGCUGUAUUUGCCAUAGUUUCUCUUUGUUUUUUUCUUACUGUUUAAAUACCAUGUAGUAGAUUGGUAAUGGUAGAUGUUAAACGAGCUAGUACUGGUAUUAUAAAAUGGAGUUUGUGUUUUAGCCAAUUGUUUAGUUUCAACAUUAAAUAACAUGUUUAGAAGGUGUAUGAGCAGGUUUGUGAAUUGUUUGUAUGGCAAAUGAACUGUAGGCCUCAAUUAUUCAGUUUAUUUUGAUUUGUGCUCUGGAUCACAAAUUUUUUGCUUAAGUUUCUGUCAAAAAUUAGUAAGGUUUUGGUUCUAAUGUUUAUCUGAAUCCACUAAAAUGUUAGGUGUUUGGCUUGUACGUGUAUUGAUGUUGUUUUAUAAGCAUUUUUGCCCAUGAGCCUAAGGUUUGAGAUCAUGUUUGUUCAUUAGGCCCCUUUACAAGUCUCCAUUUAUC
rnacentral:lncRNA from 1 species